rnacentral:rRNA from 1 species
UACGUAGGGAGCAAGCGUUGUCCGGAAUCAUUGGGCGUAAAGCGCGCGUAGGUGGCUCUAUAAGUCCGUUGUGAAAGUCAAAGGCUCAACCUUUGAAAGCCGAUGGAUACUGUAGAGCUAGAGUCCGGAAGAGGCGGGUGGAAUUCCGGGUGUAGCGGUGGAAUGCGUAGAGAUCCGGAAGAACACCGGUGGCGAAGGCGGCCUGCUGGGCAGUGGCUGACGCUGAUGCGCGACAGCGUGGGGAGCAAACAGG